UGGGGAAUUUUGGACAAUGGGCGCAAGCCUGAUCCAGCCAUGCCGCGUGAGGGAUGAAGGCCUUCGGGUUGUAAACCUCUUUCAGACGGAACGAAACGGUUCAGGUUAAUAGUCUGAAUUAAUGACGGUACCGUAAGAAGAAGCACCGGCUAACUACGUGCCAGCAGCCGCGGUAAUACGUAGGGUGCGAGCGUUAAUCGGAAUUACUGGGCGUAAAGCGUGCGUAGGCGGCUUCGCAAGUCAGGUGUGAAAGCCCUGGGCUCAACCUGGGAAUUGCGCUUGAAACUAGCGGGCUUGAGUGUGGCAGAGGGGGGUGGAAUUCCACGUGUAGCAGUGAAAUGCGUAGAGAUGUGGAGGAACACCGAUGGCGAAGGCAGCCCCCUGGGUCAACACUGACGCUCAUGCACGAAAGCGUGGGGAGCAAACAGGAUUAGAUACCCGCGUAGUCCCUGAGCGGGCUGGCAAGGCGCAU
rnacentral:rRNA from 1 species